CGAGAAUCACCAGAACGCCAACAACCAAACCGAUGAUGAUAUAAGCAGUCGAACCAGAAUCAGAAUCAUCUGGAGGGAUAAAACACAAAACAGCAUGUGGCCUGACCUUUCUGUUCGGUUUCUUUAAAUUGAAACUCCCAUCAAGAAGUAUGUUCACUUACCAACAACAAGCUGAAUGCUGGAUUCUGUAUUCAACCCUGGAAUGAAGCAUCUGUAUGUUCCUUGAUCAGAG